rnacentral:rRNA from 1 species
GAUGAACGCUAGCUACAGGCUUAACACAUGCAAGUCGAGGGGAAACGACAUCGAAAGCUUGCUUUUGGUGGGCGUCGACCGGCGCACGGGUGAGUAACGCGUAUCCAACCUGCCCACCACUUGGGGAUAACCUUGCGAAAGUAAGACUAAUACCCAAUGAUAUCCCACGAAGGCAUCCGAAUGGGAUUAAAGAUUUAUCGGUGAUGGAUGGGGAUGCGUCUGAUUAGCUUGUUGGCGGGGUAACGGCCCACCAAGGCAACAAUCAGUAGGGGUUCUGAGAGGAAGGUCCCCCACAUUGGAACUGAGACACGGUCCAAAACUCCUACGGGAGGCAGCAGUGAGGAAUAUUGGUCAAAUGGGGCGAGAGCCUGAACCAGCCAAGUAGCGUGCAGGACGACGGCCCUAUGGGGUUGUAAAACUGC